rnacentral:rRNA from 1 species
GAAGGGGGCUAGCGUUGCUCGGAAUUACUGGGCGUAAAGGGCGCGUAGGCGGACAUUUAAGUUAGAGGUGAAAGCCCAGGGCUCAACCCUGGAAUAGCCUUUAAUACUGGAUGUCUUGAGUUCGGGAGAGGUGAGUGGAAUGCCGAGUGUAGAGGUGAAAUUNGUAGAUAUUCGGCGGAACACCAGUGGCGAAGGCGACUCACUGGCCCGAUACUGACGCUGAGGCGCGAAAGCGUGGGGAGCAAACAGGAUUAGAUACCCUGGUAGUCCACGCUGUAAACGAUGAGUGCUAGUUGUCGGCAUGCAUGCAUGUCGGUGACGCAGCUAACGCAUUAAGCACUCCGCCUGGGGAGUACGGUCGCAAGAUUA